rnacentral:rRNA from 1 species
UGAGUAACGCGUAUCCAACCUGCCGUCUACUCUUGGACAGCCUUCUGAAAGGAAGAUUAAUACAAGAUGGCAUCAUGAGUCCGCAUGUUCACAUGAUUAAAGGUAUUCCGGUAGCCGAUGGGGAUGCGUUCCAUUAGAUAGUAGGCGGGGUAACGGCCCACCUAGUCUUCGAUGGAUAGGGGUUCUGAGAGGAAGGUCCCCCACAUUGGAACUGAGACACGGUCCAA